AUUCCAUGGUGAUGACAUUUUCUUAAAAACUCCUUAAACCUCUCCCACGCAUCAUACAACAACUCACCAUCUCUUUGGUGAAAAUUAUUGAUUUCACCUUUAUACCU